ACGGCCGCAAGGUUAAAACUCAAAUGAAUUGACGGGGGCCCGCACAAGCGGUGGAGCAUGUGGUUUAAUUCGAUGCAACGCGAAGAACCUUACCUGGUCUUGACAUCCACGGAAGUUUUCAGAGAUGAGAAUGUGCCUUCGGGAACCGUGAGACAGGUGCUGCAUGGCUGUCGUCAGCUCGUGUUGUGAAAUGUUGGGUUAAGUCCCGCAACGAGCGCAACCCUUAUCCUUUGUUGCCAGCGGUCCGGCCGGGAACUCAAAGGAGACUGCCAGUGAUAAACUGGAGGAAGGUGGGGAUGACGUCAAGUCAUCAUGGCCCUUACGACCAGGGCUACACACGUGCUACAAUGGCGCAUACAAAGAGAAGCGACCUCGCGAGAGCAAGCGGACCUCAUAAAGUGCGUCGUAGUCCGGAUUGGAGUCUGCAACUCGACUCCAUGAAGUCGGAAUCGCUAGUAAUCGUGGAUCAGAAUGCCACGGUGAAUACGUUCCCGGGCCUUGUACACACCGCCCGUCACACCAUGGGAGUGGGUUGC
rnacentral:rRNA from 1 species